rnacentral:rRNA from 1 species
GGAUGAGAAUAUUCCACAAUGGACGAAAGUCUGAUGGAGCGACGCCGCGUGUGGGAUGAAGGUCUUAGGAUUGUAAACCACUUUUUUCAGGGAGCAAUUUCGAUGAGAGUACCUGAAGAAUAAGAGGUUACUAACUCUGUGCCAGCAGUAGCGGUAAUACAGAGACCUCAAGCGUUAUCCGGAUUUAUUGGGCGUAAAGGGUAGGUAGGUGGUCUAGUUAGUCGGAUGUUAAAGCUCGGGGCUCAACCCC